rnacentral:lncRNA from 1 species
UGCACCCUAUCUCUGUCUUUCUUUGUUUGUCUAUUCUAAUAUGUUGUCCCAAAGCCUUCAAUUUGCCUUUCCCUGUAGGAAUUCCUUUUUCAUUCGUUCUUCUGUUGAAUGUAGUCCUCUUGAGCUGAGCUCUCUUUGAGGGCGGAUUACAUACACGAUUUCUUUCAUUUUUGCUCUAGCAGAAAGUGGGAGGUGCCUUACCUCACCAAAAAAGGGGGUUUACC